GUGCCAGCCGCCGCGGUAAUACGUAGGGAGCAAGCGUUGUCCGGAAUUACUGGGUGUAAAGGGAGCGUAGGCGGGAUGGCAAGUCAGGUGUGAAAACUAUGGGCUCAACUCAUAGAUUGCACUUGAAACUGUUGUUCUUGAGUGAAGUAGAGGUAAGCGGAAUUCCUGGUGUAGCGGUGAAAUGCGUAGAUAUCAGGAGGAACACCGGUGGCGAAGGCGGCUUACUGGGCUUUUACUGACGCUGAGGCUCGAAAGCGUGGGGAGCAAACAGGAUUAGAUACCCUGGUAGUCCACGCCGUAAACGAUGAUUACUAGGUGUGGGGGGACUGACCCCUUCCGUGCCGCAGUUAACACAAUAAGUAAUCCACCUGGGGAGUACGGCCGCAAGGUUGAAACUUAAAGGAAUUGACGG
rnacentral:rRNA from 1 species